rnacentral:lncRNA from 1 species
GGUUGGCUUAUAAAAGGCUAGUUUCAAAAUCUUUCUAAUUAUGGAUAAGUGGAUAAUAGAGAUGGAGAAGUAUGGAUAGCUAUAGAAGGAUAUUUCAUUUAUCUAGCAACAAUAAUGGGGAGCUAAAGAAAAGGCUUUACAAGAUAUUUCAACUUCCAAUCAUUUUAUUCUCUUGACAUUGCUAUUUUGCAUAUGGUGCCACACAUAAGCAUGC